rnacentral:lncRNA from 1 species
AUGUGGCAAAAAUCAAUUGAUGGGGGGGAAAAGGAGGAGAAGGAGAUAAAGGCCGUUCACGCACUUUGGAGAACUGUGUUAGAGACUCUGAAGGCUUUAAAAGCCAAAAGGGAAGUAGCAUGCGCGGCAGCGCAGAUGCUGGGUCCGGGAGUCCCUGCUUCCAAGCCCCGGAACAAGCCAGGGCCCGUUGCGCGAUUUUUUGGCUUGCCUGCGGUCAGAGGCAUGUCCGGGACGGUUUGCCAAAACGCUACUGAGGUGCGGGAGAAAGUAGAGGGUCAGAGCCCCGGUACAUCAGAGGACGUCCUGAGCCCCGGUCCGAGCCAGAGAAAAGAGGAAGUUGCCGCGCCGAAGGCUGGCGCGAGCUCUGAGACCAAAGCGGAAGUGCGCCCAGGGGCAGUCCCGAAAGGGGCGGAGGCCGUGCCUCUUGCCGACCUCAUAGACUUGGGCGGAGAGAGGUGUCGACCUUCCCCUACUGCUCCUCCCUUGCCACCGCCUGCCGCACCUCCCCUGAAUCCGCCGCGCUGCCCGCCACCGCUGAUGCCGGCAGCUCCCUUGUAUCCGCCGCUACCAUCAACGCCACCACCCGCACUACCAUCAUGCCCUCCGCCCACGGAGUACCCACCACUGCCUGCAUCUGGAGAGUCAUCUGGAUGUCACACGCCUGAUGCCGCAAAAACAACACCAUCACCCCAGGGAGCCACUGCAAAAAUGUUKCAAGCAGUACUGGAGCGCCUGGAAAAGAUAGAGCUGAGGUCGAGCAGCGGCGAGAAGGAGUUACCGCUCUGUCUACAAAGACCGCCAGGUAGAGCAGCACCAACGCGGUGGAGCGGCAUUAUUAAAGAUGCCAUCAUAGAAGGACAAUGGAAACCUGUUGGUGGGGCCAAGGGUCCCGCAGCAUUAGUGUUCCCUGUGGUACAGCAGAACRGUGCCGCAAAAUGGGAACCACAUGAUUGGAAAAUUUUGCAGCAAGCCCGUACCACCGUCUCCACCUACGGGGUAAAAUCUGAGGCAACACGGCAAAUAGUGAGUUGGAUCUUUUCCGCUGAUCUCAUGUGCCCCUAUGAUUGCAAAAACUUAAUGAGGCUGCUGCUUACCCCGACGCAAUAUCUCCUAUGGGCCUCGUCGUGGCACCAGUGGGCCGCCAACGAAGCAGCUCGCAGGCAGGAGUCGGGAGAUCCCCUCCGUGGGGUAACAACCGACAUGCUUAUAGGCAAAGGACAGUACAGCACCAUGAUCUCACAGCUCRCCUACCCAGUUGACAUGCUACAGCUGUCCUCUCAGCUGGCUCUGAAUGCUUUCCUGUCACUGCCAGGGUCAGGCGCACCCUCAUUCGGCAACCUAAUCCAGGGAGCAACGGAA